AUACCCUAUUAUUUUGAUUGUAAAAAAAAUUACUUGAGUAUUAAUAGUUAUGGUCUUGAAACUUAAAAAAUUUGGCGGUAUUUUAGUCUAUUCAGAGGAACCUGUUAUGUAAUCGAUAAUCCACGAUGGACCUAACUUAAUUUUGUUUUUCAAUUUAUAUAUCGCUGUUAUAGAAAAUUUUAUAAGAAUAAUAAUUUUCAAUUAAUUUUAUAUAAAUUAUAUAUCAAGUCAAGGUGUAGUUUAUGAUUAAGUAUUUUAUGGGUUACAAUAAAUUUAUUUAAGCGAAUUUAAAACUGAAAUAGUUUUAAUAAAGAUGGAUUUGAUAGUAAAUUUUUAAAGAUAAAAAAAUUGAUUUUAGCUCUAAAAUAUGCACACAUCGCCCGGUCGCUC
rnacentral:rRNA from 1 species